GUACACUCCUGCGGGAGGCAGCAGUGAGGAAUAUUGGACAAUGGGUGGAAGCCUGAUCCAGCCAUCCCGCGUGCAGGAAGACGGCCCUAUGGGUUGUAAACUGCUUUUAUCUGGGGAUAAACCUACUUACGUGUAAGUAGCUGAAGGUACCAGAAGAAUAAGCACCGGCUAACUCCGUGCCAGCAGCCGCGGUAAUACGGAGGGUGCAAGCGUUAUCCGGAUUUAUUGGGUUUAAAGGGUCCGUAGGCGGACUGAUAAGUCAGUGGUGAAAUCCGACAGCUUAACUGUCGAACUGCCAUUGAUACUGUUAGUCUUGAGUAAGGUUGAAGUGGCUGGAAUAAGUAGUGUAGCGGUGAAAUGCAUAGAUAUUACUUAGAACACCAAUUGCGAAGGCAGGUCACUAAGUCUUAACUGACGCUGAUGGACGAAAGCGUGGGGAGCGAACAGGAUUAGAAACCCUGGUAGUCC
rnacentral:rRNA from 1 species